GUGGGGAAUAUUGGACAAUGGGGGGAACCCUGAUCCAGCCAUGCCGCGUGUGUGAAGAAGGCCUUUUGGUUGUAAAGCACUUUAAGCGAGGAGGAGGCUACUCUAGUUAAUACCUAGGGAUAGUGGACGUUACUCGCAGAAUAAGCACCGGCUAACUCUGUGCCAGCAGCCGCGGUAAUACAGAGGGUGCAAGCGUUAAUCGGAUUUACUGGGCGUAAAGCGCGCGUAGGUGGCCAAUUAAGUCAAAUGUGAAAUCCCCGAGCUUAACUUGGGAAUUGCAUUCGAUACUGGUUGGCUAGAGUAUGGGAGAGGAUGGUAGAAUUCCAGGUGUAGCGGUGAAAUGCGUAGAGAUCUGGAGGAAUACCGAUGGCGAAGGCAGCCAUCUGGCCUAAUACUGACACUGAGGUGCGAAAGCAUGGGGAGCAAACAGGAUUAGAAACCCUUGUAGUCC
rnacentral:rRNA from 1 species